GGGCGCGUAGCUCAGCGGGAGAGCGCCACUCUCACACAGUGGAGGUCGGUGGUUCGAAACCACUCGCGCCCACAA
rnacentral:tRNA from 1 species